rnacentral:lncRNA from 1 species
GAUUCCUGGUGAUCACAGUGCUGUCCUGAAACAUUGGCUCUCUCCUACUUUUCAGACCUGCAGAAAAAGCCUCAUCAAAACAGACGCCUUCCUGAAAAACCUCUGACUAGUGAAGCAGCCUGUUUCCUGUAUGAUAAAUGAAUAGUAUGUCCUAACCAGCCCUAAUGUGCAGGAUAUGGGUGUAACUUUGAGAGAUGUCCCUAGACAAGGGGAGAUCCUGUCAUGCAGCCUGCUGUUGUAUAAGAAGUACAGAUGAAAAGAGCUUCCUUACUGCAUUCCUGUUGGAGCUUAAAGCCUUUACAAUGGUUUAUUGAUGAACUACUAUUUUGAAAAUCAAGACUGCUGAGGCUUAAGAUUGUAGUGACAAUUACAUGGUAUUUUGUUGCUAAGUUAACAAUUUGCAUGGGAC